UACGGAGGGGGCUAGCGUUGUUCGGAAUUACUGGGCGUAAAGCGCACGUAGGCGGCUUUGUAAGUUAGAGGUGAAAGCCCAGGGCUCAACCCUGGAAUUGCCUUUAAGACUGCAUCGCUUGAACAUCGGAGAGGUAAGUGGAAUUCCGAGUGUAGAGGUGAAAUUCGUAGAUAUCGAGAAGGAACACCGGUGGCGAAGGCGGCCAACUGGACGAAUACUGACGCUGAGACUCGAAAGCGUGGGGAGCAAACAGGAU
rnacentral:rRNA from 1 species